rnacentral:rRNA from 1 species
UACGAAGGGGGCGAGCGUUGUUCGGAUUUACUGGGCGUAAAGGGCGCGCAGGCGGCUCAUUUUGUCAGGCGUGAAAGCCCCGGGCUUAACCUGGGAACUGCGUUUGAUACGGAUGGGCUAGAGUUCGGGAGAGGGAUGCAGAAUUCCAGGUGUAGCGGUGAAAUGCGUAGAUAUCUGGAGGAAUACCGGUGGCGAAGGCGGCAUCCUGGACCGACAUUGACGCUGAGGAGCGAAAGCUAGGGGAGCAAACGGG